AUGUUUUCUUAUGGUCUUCCCUGUUCAGUUUUGUUAGCGAACACAUCAAAACUUUGGAGGAAAUCGAUGUGGAGUACAAGGAGUUAGCUUUAGAAUCUAGCAUCGAUUCAACAAUUUGCAUGUCAGAUAUUCAUUCAAAUGUCUAACUGAACCUAUGGAACAAGAAUUGAAAUCUUGCCUUUUUCAUUUUAUCAUCUGAUAUCCAGUUUUCUAAGUUAUAGUAUAUCAUUUUUUCUUUAGAGGAGUUCAUUUCCAAGUUAAAGAAAAAAUUACAGUAGACCCUUUUAUGUUUGGAGGAUACAAGUGUUCAUUUCCAAGUUAAAGAAACGUUGCAUGAGCAUCCCCUGUGUUUGUGGAAAAUGCAAUAUGAACUUUUACAUAUAUUUAAUAUUUGCAUGUCAGGGGCUCAGCAACAAGCAGCAAUCUGCCAAUCUGACAGGUCAUCAGGGGCUCAAGAAUGUCACUUGCCAUUACCGAGAGCAUGGGUGGAGGCCUCCAGGAGAUGCAGUGCUGGCAUGCCCGUGGAGUGGAGGUCGCCGUGGGGACGCAAACGCCAUAUGGAAUGUAGGUUAGCUGUUUGAGGAAAUGCUCGAGGAUCAAUCGGCGAUUGUGCCAACAAGCUUGCAGUUUAUAAUGAUGGAUAUUUGGAUGGUGGCAAAAAAUCUCAUGCUUUCAUUGCUUGCAGAGGAUGUCAAGCACUUGCAUGCUACAAGCAUUUGUCCCUGGUAGCCGUGCUGUCAUCCUGUCACAGUUUGGGUGGUGGUGAUAUGAUGGUAUGCAACCAGGGUAGCCACUAGCCAGCCAUUAUCAAUCCCAAAUACCAUUUCGAGCAGCCAUGCAGCUAGGAGCAAGGUUGCUUCUGCAACAUCAGCUAUGAAGUCAGUGUUUUUGCAAGAGGUUCAACAGCAGGAUAGGUAAGCUUUCUAUUUCUCUGGAAUAAUGUCGUCCUGAUCAUCGUCGUCGAGUCGUUGCUGCGUAUUGAUUACAAAUAGCUUUUUUUAGUCAUGUGGUGUGUUGCUUUGGGUGCCUACCUGCUGCUUGUUUGAUGAAAUGUCUAGGCGAGCAAUGUUACACCGAAAUAGAAGUUGCUAUUGCUUUUACUUGAUGGGUGCCUACCUGCUGCCGAUGUUAGGGUUUCGAAAUUUUGGGAAAACUUCGACAUUGGUGUUGGGUACCUGUGUGUUCAUUCUGUUUAUGCUCUUGUUCUUCCAACCUUUGUAAAUAAUUAUAACAUUGCUGGCAGAUGGGUUAUCAUUUUCAAAUGGCACUAUGAGUGUGUUUGUGUAAUCAACAUAAUAACUCUGUUCUUUGUGUGAAACAUAUAUUUAUUA